CUGACGUCAUCAUUUCUGUACUAGCAAAGCGGACAUUUUAGAAGUUUGAAGGUAAAGGAGAUUAUCUGACGACUUUCAUAUAAUAUUUUCGUCUCACAAAUUUCAGGUGUAGUUAUGCUGGUUUUAUGAUUUAUAAAGCAUAAUUUAAUUCAAGAACCGGGUCGACCUCGUUUUUGAACUAGUAAAGAAGUUGAGUCCAAUAUUUUUGUAUCGUAUGCGGCGGAGAUCCUGCUGCUAGCCUGUCAUUUUGCAAGUGUGCGUGGUUUUUUAGCCCGUUAAAAGAGGGCCCUUUCAGCUCUCAGACGCCAAAUCUCGUUUUUUUCCCCAUCAAAAUAGACGUAUGGCCCGUGAACGUAUAAAUUAUAACUUGUGUCUUUGUCAUUUUAUUAAAAUAGCUAGAUUAGAAGCCCUUUGGAAUAUUGCUAGGCCAACUAGCUUGCUAGCUAACAAUUGACAACCCCGCGUGCACCAUCAGCUUUGUGAACGUGAAUUAGCCAUUAGCUAGCUAGUUUACGUUACUUGCUAAUCUACUUUGGAGACCAUGGCAGAGUUGUACAUUCGCGUGGGAGAGGAUGAAAACGAAGAGCCAAUGGAGAUCCCAUCUGAGGAUGAUGGCACUGUUUUGCUGUCAACAGUAGCAGCCCAGUUUCCCGGAGCGUGCGGCCUACGUUACAGGAGCCCUGCGUCUCAGUGCAUGCGAGGCGUCCGUCUAGUUGAGGGCAUCUUGCAUGCACCUGAGAAUGACUGGGGUAGUCUGGUGUACGUUGUCAACUACCCAAAAGAUAACAAAAGGAAGAUGGAUGAAAUGGAUGCUGCCUCUGCCGUAAAAAUGAAGAGAGGUAUUGAUAGAACAUCAGACCUCAUUAUCCUUGGGUUGCCAUGGAAAACAUCUGAGCAAGAUUUGAAAGACUACUUCGUCACUUUUGGAGAAGUCAUCAUGGUGCAGGUCAAAAGAGAUGUCAAGACUGGGAACUCAAAGGGGUUUGGCUUUGUUCGGUUCACUGAGUAUGAGACUCAAUCCAAAGUGAUUUCUCAGCGACACAUGAUCGAUGGAAGAUGGUGUGACUGCAAACUACCAAACUCUAAGGUAUUUAAUCAAUAUACAGGGCCUGAUGAGCCCAUGCGCAACUGUAAAAUCUUUGUUGGCCGCUGCACAGAGGACAUUACCACUGAUGAGCUCCGGCAGUUCUUCAUGCAGUAUGGCGAGGUCACCGAUGUCUUCAUUCCCAAACCCUUCCGGGCAUUUGCCUUUGUCACUUUCUCAGAUGACCAGGUUGCCUCAGCAUUGUGCGGAGAGGACCUGAUCAUCAAGGGUGUCAGCGUGCACAUCUCCAACGCCGAGCCUAAGCACAAUAAUAGUAGGCAAAUGAUGGAUCGUGGGGCUGGUGGGUUCGGGGGUCAGGGCUAUGGCGGUGGUCGUGGAGGGCUACCGAGCAGUGGCAGUAGCGGGGUGAAUUUUGGGGGCUUUAGCCUUAACCCAGCCAUGAUGGCCGCCGCUCUGCAAAGUAUGCUGGCUAACCAGCAGGGUCAGACCAAUGUGGCAGGCACCGUCGCCGCUGGGCAGACAAGUGCCACCGGAGAUCAAAGCCAAGCCUAUAGUUCUAGCAGCACCAGUUACAGCAGCUCAGCUAGUCUUGGGUGGGCUGCAGGCACUAACUCUGCCUCCGGCAGUGGGUUCAGCUCUGGCUUUGGCACCUCUAUGGAGUCAAAGUCAUCAGGUUGGGGAAUGUAGAGAGCUUUGAUUGAAAGUCUGAUUUCUAGAUUAAUCUGGUAAGUAUUUUGAGGGGCAAGAAAGAGUUAGUCAUAUCAUAUGUCCCUGCUAUUUAAAACUAUUGCCUUUUUUGUUGUUUUGUUAAAGACAUUAAUUUGGUGUGUGUGUGACUAAUUCUGUAGGAAAUGACUGCAGAGUGGUUGAAGUGUAUAGUUAGUGGUAAACUACUACACGUAGUUUUUUUUUAUUUUCUUGAGAAAAAGUUAUUUUGUAUAAGACAUCAGAUGACUGCAUGCUAAGUAGAUAUUUCUGAGUAUCUCGUAUCACGACAGCCCCCCCCCCCCCCCCUCAACAACGUGUAUAUGGUUAAAUGGUGUUGAAUUGGGUUUGAUGUUUAAUCUUUGUAUGCAGUUGAUUGUAUCUUUGUUUACCGUUUUAUGGAAACGCCUUCAUGAAAAUCUCUUCAACAGUUAACCAACUGUUUUCGAAUUUCCCGGGAAGAAGCCCCUCGUUGGCAGCAAUGUUCGACCAAACUCAGUAUCGGUACCCCUCUUCCCAUGUGUAAAUGCUUUGCCAUCAAAAGACACAGCUUCACUCUGCAUAUACUGUGUUAGACGGGACCUUGGACACGGCUGGCCCAGGUUUACAUCUGAACCCCAGAGUGAAGUCAAUUUUCGGGAAGCUGAAGACUGGAGUUUGCGCUGUUGGUUGGGGGCUGCAGAAUGCCUUAUGCCUGGAAAGGGACUUCUUCACCUCACUAACAAGACCCCUUGGAUCACCCCACUGAAAUUUAUAACAGACCAUUUUCAAAUUUGGCAGAGGUAUUUAGUUUUAUACCUUCAAACAAGUACAUUUUAAAAGCAACGGCAACAUUUAAUUUAUAUAAUGAAUUGCCUGCUAUUUAGUGACCAUGUUUUUGUUGAGUUUUUUUUUUUAAUUACCCGACUCUUUAAAUCUUACUUUUGAAAGAUUCCUUUUGUGUCAUUAAUUUAUCCUUUGUCCCAAUACAGCCAUCAGUUAUUGUAAAUGGAAAGAUUUAAGUUAAAGGCUUUUAUUAAAAGUAUUCCGUAGAUCUCUUUUUCAUGUGGGUCGAAAUGUAAAAUUUUUGUUGGAUUUACGGGACCUUCAAAUUAUUUUAAGGCUGUAAAGGGGAGUGACUUGAGUCAGUUUUACAGGGUUUUAGAUAUGUGGAAAAUUCUUGAACCCGCCAGUGGCAGGUUCAAUGAGUUAGCCAGCUAACUUGCCUAUAUAUUUUGAAAACCUUUGGGCAUGGUCUAAUUGACUCAACAACCGAAAACGCAUAUCUAAGUUUAGCUUCUGGUUCUUUAUCAAAGUUAGCUGGCUAACUAAUUGAACCUACUUUGUAGUAUACCCCUCAUGAAUUGUCACUUGUGUACAGAUAUGGAACUCUUUUUAUUUUUAGUUCACUGAAGUGUAAAAUAAAGUUUUAAAUUUGUAAUAA